UACAGAGGUCUCAAGCGUUGUCCGGAAUUAUUGGGCGUAAAGAGCUUGUAGGCGGUUUGUCGCGUCUGCUGUGAAAUUUCGGGGCUCAACCCCGAACUUGCAGUGGGUACGGGCAGACUAGAGUGUGGUAGGGGAGACUGGAAUUCCUGGUGUAGCGGUGAAAUGCGCAGAUAUCAGGAGGAACACCAAUGGCGAAAGCACUCUGCUGGGCCGACACUGACACUGAGAGACGAAAGCUAGGGGAGCGAAUGGG
rnacentral:rRNA from 1 species